GAACUCGGCAUAACGCUCUCUCUCGGUAUCGCGAGAUUUCAUAGUCUUCCUCGCCGUGUGGACGUUAGCGCUGGAAGGUGUGCUCUAUGGCGGUGGCUGUUUCAGCGGUAAAUACUCUGUAUUGAACUGUAAAAGCUCCCCAUAUAUAAUCUCACAAGACACCCCAGCGGAGAGCAGGUGCUAGGGAGGCGAGGCUCUGAUGAUGGAGAAUGGACAGAGCACGGCCUCGAAGCUCGGCCUGCCGCCCCUUACCCCGGAACAGCAGGAGGCGCUACAGAAGGUGAAACUUUCCCCAGACACUGCUUCUGCAUAUGGGUACUGAAAUCAGUGAUAUUGAUGCGUGACGUGACUUUACCAUGCUCAAUAACAGUUAUACACAAGUGUAUCAGAGAGAGGCUUUCAUUUAUAGUUUUGAGAUC